AGAGUUUGAUCCUGGCUCAGGAUGAACGCUAGCGGCAGGCUUAACACAUGCAAGUCGAGGGGUAUAGAGGAGCUUGCUCUUCUAGAGACCGGCAAACGGGUGCGGAACACGUACACAACCUGCCUCUGUCUUGGGGAUAGCCUUCUGAAAAGGAGAUUAAUACCCAAUAGUAUAAAUGAGUGGCAUCACUUAAUUAUUAAAGAAUUUCGGACAGAGAUGGGUGUGCGUAAGAUUAGGUAGUUGGUGAGGUAACGGCUCACCAAGCCCACGAUCUUUAGCUGAUGUGAGAGCAUGAUCAGCCACACGGGCACUGAGACACGGGCCCGACUCCUACGGGAGGCAGCAGUGAGGAAUAUUGGUCAAUGGACGGAAGUCUGAACCAGCCAUGCCGCGUGAAGGAUGAAGGCGUUCUGCGUUGUAAACUUCUUUUAUCUGGGAAGAAACCACAGAUUUCUAUUUGUGUUGACGGUACCAGAGGAAUAAGCACCGGCUAACUCCGUGCCAGCCGCCGCGGUAAUAC
rnacentral:rRNA from 1 species